UCCUGUUGUCGUACGUAAUUCUUCAAGAUGGGAGACGCAAACCAAGCCCUCGCCUUGUCCGGCAAGAGCAAUUGGAAGGUGGAUAUGUUCAGCUGUUUCGACAACAUCGGUCUGUGCGCGCUCACCUUCUGCUGCCCGUGUGUGACGGCGGGCAAGAACGCCGAGGCCGCCGGGGAAGACUGCCUCAAGUUCGGCUUCUAUUCCGUCCUCGGCCCGGUCGGGAUGUACAGCAUGGCGUACACGCGUACGAAGAUCGCCGCGAAGGAGGGCCUGCCCGCCGACUUCGUGACCAACCUACUGAUCUACGGCACCGUUCCGUGCUGUGCGCUCAUGCAGGAGGCACAACAGAUGGAGAGCGUCAAGGUGCCACAACCUACGGCCCAAGAGGAGAUGACCAGGGAAUAGGUGUGACAACAAGAUGGUGAGGACAGCUCAACUUUACUUUAGAACAAUGUAACAAGCACUACGCGACUGCGAGGGAGGGGGGUAAUUAAUCGAAAGCUGUGAGAUCUACAACAACCCCAAACAAAGUUUAAAGUUCACUCAGGGAAAGGAACAAAGCAACGCAGACUGGACUACAACUCAAGAAGCUACAUUGUAUGAUAAAGACUUGCUAAGAAGGGGAAAACGUGGCCAAACUUUGGUACUGUAUACGUAUGCAGGUGUGGUGUGAGCAAAUACUUGUGCAACCACACCAGAACGCAUUCCGAGCUCAAACCUGGGACACCUGACACCGUUACUUCGGAAUGUGUGUCAGGUACAAACAACAAGCGAGUGGACGAUUCACCAAGUGGGACCAGCUUUUGUGAUAGAAUAGAACGUCCAGUUGACCGCGCCGUCACUGUGUCCACCUACUGACCGCUGGCCGUGACGAGAUCAUUAUAAAGCGGUCACCUCAUAGAUAGAGUCCACACUGUUUGUCUUACAACCGUGCUUAUGUGUUUAAACGAAUUAAUGGUUAGCUAGAGUACAAUGUUCAUGUAUACCUAUCCGAGUCGUGGGACUUGUGCAGAGGUGACCCUCUUAAACUAGACUCACAGGGGCUGUUUAUAUGGCUGUUUACUUUGCUGCAAUUUAGCUGUGUCCAAAACAUGUGCGUUUGUAUGCAGAAGUAAGUUUAAGAAGCAUUCUUCGGCCUAGGAAAAUACUAAGUAUGUUUUGUGUUCUGGCGACCCUAGCAAAAAUCUGACCACUAGCUUUCUUUUGAGGGGGGAGGGGGUAAGGUGUGUCGCUAGCAAGAGACUACAGAUUUUCCACUGGUACAGGUGAAUGAUAAAAACCUUGUAAAAUCACUUUCCAACAAGUUUUCCUCAUCAUAAUAGUCGAAUUGAAAUAUGAUGCUGAAAAUACUAAUGUUCAGCUGCAUUUCAGUUUUGCAUUGUCAAAAUGUACAUGUUGUGUUACAUCUAUUGAAAUCUUUUUAAGAAAUUGCACUUUACCAAAACCUUUCUCUUUGAAAGUAACAUGAAACACAACAUUUCUUUUCUUAGGCCUUAUUACCACUGUUUGCUUUUGCGAUCGGCUUACGGACUUCUGUUAUUACCACUACUGAGAAAUUUGCAUAUCUGUAAUUUGCGUAUUUGGGAAGUAGGAGUAGAUUACUGUGUUUGUUAUGGUAAUUAGCUUGCGCUACAGGUGACUUCUGUAAUUACAGUUUGUUUUCCUACCUGGAAUGGUUGUUAAUGUUUCAUUAAUAGGGUGGAAAGGUGCUUGGAAUUCCACUACAUACGAGGGGUGAUCGAUAAAAAGGUGCAGAAGUGAAAUUUGGGGGCGUUAUUACAUACUAUAACCCCUUCAUAAAUGUCUACCAAAAUUCAAAUUAUUGUGAUCAUUAACUUUGCAUGCAGGCGACACUCAGUAACGUUAGGUGAGUGAGAAGGUAAUAAACGUGGACAAUUGAGCUGUGACCUGAGGUGCGCGGGUCAACUUGCUCUGCUGAAAGUCAGAUACCCGCUUCUUUCUAGUUGUAAUAAGAGGGGAUUCUUCGUCAAAACAUUUUUAAAAUGUCUUCGUAGAUUUCAUGGCAUAGGGAACCCGACCCACACAACUCACCCUUGUUUUUCUCGUCUCUUACCCACUGAUUUUAAAGAGAAUGCCCACUGGAAAGCAAUGACGACAAUGAUUUGAAAGUUUGUGCAUAUUUAAAAAGACUAUGCACUACAUAAUCAUUACCCGAAAUCUGAGAUUAACACCUUAUUUCUGGGUGAGACCAAUCCUUGGUGAGACCGAAAACUUCUUGAUCACACUUCGUUGUCUCAUUUCUAAUGAAUAUGCCCCAUGUUUAAUCCACUAUGUAUAAAUGCAGCCAUGUUAAUUAUAUAUCUUUGCUAACCGCUAAAUACACAAUCAAUAUACAACACGCUAUUGUAAGAAUAAUGAAUACAUUCUCUUACAGCACAGUAAAUAUAUGUUUACGAGAGAAGAAGAAUAUACCAUUAGCUUUGUUUGAAGUCGCGUAUCCAUUGUGUCACACAACAUUGUACCAUUGUGAAUAAAUUACUUGGUACAGCUCAUUAAAAA